rnacentral:misc_RNA from 1 species
GCAAGUAUCCAGGUGCUAAUUCAACAGCUCCUCCAACACCCUGAAUUGUUUCAGCUAUAAAUCCAGCAACUCUUCCUGAAGUACCGUAAGCUAUAUGAUCUUGGACGUCUUUGACAUAACUACUAGCAUCUGGCCCAAAGACACCACGAUAUGGAUCGGGAUUCACAACAUGAUGAAUUUCACCCUGAGGUAUUGGGUACUUCCACGUGUUCAAAGCUGUCAGUCCAAUUGUGUUGGAACUUCCUCCAUGGUAUGCAUUUCUCAGAGCAAUCAUACCUAGAUUACCACUGUACAGACGGGCCAUAAGCAUUGCUAAUUCAUUUGCUUCUGU